rnacentral:rRNA from 1 species
UGCCUAAUACAUGCAAGUCGAGCGAACGGACGAGAAGCUUGCUUCUCUGAUGUAAGCGGCGGACGGGUGAGUAACGCGUAGGUAACCUACCUCAUAGCGGGGGAUAACUAUUGGAAACGAUAGCUAAUACCGCAUAAGAGAGACUAACGCAUGUUAGUAAUUUAAAAGGGGCAAUUGCUCCACUAUGAGAUGGACCUGCGUUGUAUUAGCUAGUUGGUGAGGUAAAGGCUCACCAAGGCGACGAUACAUAGCCGACCUGAGAGGGUGAUCGGCCACACUGGGACUGAGACACGGCCCAGACUCCUACGGGAGGCAGCAGUAGGGAAUCUUCCGCAAUGGGCGAAAGCCUGACGGAGCAACGCCGCGUGAGUGAUGAAGGUCUUCGGAUCGUAAAACUCUGUUAUUAGGGAAGAACAUUAUGUGUAAGUCACUGUGCACAUAUUGACGGUACCUAAUCAGAAAGCCACGGCUAACUACGUGCCAGCAGCCGCGGUAAUACGUAGGUCCCGAGCGUUGUCCGGAUUUAUUGGGCGUAAAGCGAGCGCAGGCGGUUUUUUAAGUCUGAAGUUAAAGGCAUUGGCUCAACCAAUGUACGCUUUGGAAACUGGAGAACUUGGGUGCAGAAGGGGAGAGUGGAAUUCCAUGUGUAGCGGUGAAAUGCGUAGAUAUAUGGAGGAACACCAGUGGCGAAGGCGACUUUCUGGUCUGUAA